rnacentral:rRNA from 1 species
AGCUCCAAUAGCGUAUAUUAAAGUUGCUGCAGUUAAAAAGCUCGUAGUUGCAUUUCCGAGGCAAGGGAUUAGUCCGACCUUUGGUGGGUAUUUAAUCCUCUUGCCUCGUCCUUGAGUGGUGCUUCUUGGUAUUAAGUUAUCGAGGAGAUAGCCGCUCAUCGUUUACUGUGAGAAAAUUAGAGUGUUCAAAGCAGGCUUAUGCCGUUGAAUAUAUUAGCAUGGAAUAAUAAGAUAGGACCUCGGUACUAUUUUGUUGGUUUGAGAACCAAGGUAAUGAGUAAUAGGGACAGUUGGGGGUAUUCGUAUUCAGUUGUCAGAGGUGAAAUUCUUAGAUUUACGGAAGACGAACUACUGCGAAAGCAUUUACCAAGGAUGUUUUCA